rnacentral:rRNA from 1 species
AUUGAACGCUGGCGGCAGGCCUAACACAUGCAAGUCGAACGAGUGGCGGACGGGUGAGUAAUGUCUGGGAAACUGCCUGAUGGAGGGGGAUAACUACUGGAAACGGUAGCUAAUACCGCAUACCAUCGGAUGUGCCCAGAUGGGAUUAAGUAGUAGGUGGGGUAAAGGCUCACCUAGGCGACAAUCCCUAGCUGGUCUGAGAGGAUGACCAGCAACACUGGAACAAGCACAGGGUACAGACUCGGACUGAAGGCAACAGUGGGAAUUAUUGCACAAUAGGCGCAAGCCUGAUGCAGCCAUGCCGCGUAGAUGAAGAAGGCCUUAGGGUUGUAAAGUACUUUCAGAGGGGAGGCGUUACCCGCAGAGGAAGCACCGGCUAACUCCGUGCCAGAAGCAGCGGUGAUUC